CGCAGCUCCUCUUCACUGAGAGAGACCCGAAUUCACGGAGGGGGAAAAGGUGCGCCCCACAAAAAGGGAGCCGCCUCGUAGAGACACCAGGGGCAAUGGCUUUGGAUGAUCUCUCAAUCCCUGUUCCGAAAGGGGACCCAGAUGUAGAACUCUCAGCUCCUUCUCCAGCACCAUGUCUGUCUGCAUGACACCAUACUUCCAGUCAUGAAAAUGAUGGACUAAACCUCUGAACUGUGUAUGUGUGUCUUAGUGUUGUAUUGCUGUGAAGAGACACCAUGGCCACAGCAACUCCUAUAGAAGAAAGCAUUUAAUUGGGAUGUGCUUAAAGUUUGAGAGGCUUAGUCCACGGAGGAGAGCACGGUUUUACACAGGCAGGCAUGGUGCGUAUAGAGGCUGGCAGACAGCAGGAAGGAAGAGACUCUGGGUUUGCGAUGGGAUUUUUUGAAACUUCAAAGCCCAGCCUCAGUGACACACUUUCUCAAGCAAGACCAGACCUCCUAAUCCUUUCAAAUAGUACCACUCUAUUGAUCCUAUGGGGACCAUUUUCAUUCAAACCACAACAUUCCUCUCUCCCUGUCCCCCAUGGACUAGUGGCUACGUAAUAAUGCAGAAUUUGUUUAGUCCAACUUCAAAAAUCCCCCAUAGUGCAUCACAAUCUCAAUACUGUUUUAAAGAUGAAAGUUAAAAGCCUCUUGGGAAACUCAAGACAAUCUCUUAACUGUAACCUCUGUAAAAUCAAAAUUUAAAAAGCAGAUCACAUACUUCCAACAUGCAUUGGCACAGAAUAUGCAUUGUCUUUCCAAAGGGAGGAAGGGUUGCAUCAUGAGGAAACAGUGUACCCAUGCAAGACCAAGAACCAGCUGGAUGAACUCCAGAACACAUCUCCAAGUCUUAUGUCAAAGCACUCCUCAGAUCUCCAGCUCCUUCCAGCUUUGCUGACUGUAACACACUUCUCCCUCUGAGGCUGGUUCUGCUCCCUGCUAGCAGCCCCUUUCAGCAGGUGUUCCAUGGUUCUGAUGCCAUCCAGAUUUUUAGGAUAUCAGAAUCACAGGAAGCAUUUGAGCUCAACCUUUGUGGGGAGACUUCGAUUCAGUCUUUAAGAUGUGGUCAAGGAAUUUACAUUUGCAGGAAGAUUUUGCUUUUAUAUAACAUUGUUUAUCUAGUGUGUGACAUGCUUUUUUUUUCUUUUAUUCAACAAACUCCCUCUGUAUACUUACUUUUCUAUAUGUGCUUCCGGCUGCAAUUUGAGUAAUACCAAAAAAACAUGGAAGGAGGUUGCCCAUCAUCUGGCCACUAGGGAGGAUGAAGGCGUUUGCAUUCUCGUAGGGCACUUUACCUUGUGAAGGCUAUGAAGAUCCUGGAGUUGUGCUGUGAACUGCCGCUGGCUCAGUGUAGCUUGAGUGAGGCUAGCACUCAGGAUGGUGAAUCAGGUGGAUGAUGAGUUCAAGGCCAACGGAGGCUACAUGGCCUGACUCUGUCUCAAGAACAAAACAAAACAUUCCUAAAUAAAUGACAACCAAACCUCCACCAAAAUAAAAAAAAUAAAAUAAAAACUAACCUGAAAACAGGAGGUGACUAAGCCGGUAAGGUUUCUGUUGCAAGAGGAUUUGAGUUCUGAACCUCAGUGCCAAAAUAAAAUCCAUGAGCUGCUGAUAGCAUCUAUAACACCAACAAUGGGGAGGCAGGGAGACCAGGGGAGACCAGAGCUCAUUAACCAGCCAGCCUAAACAAAUCGAUUGCAUGCCUCAGCACAAGUAUAGCAUCAGAGAACAGCUUGUGGGAGUCUGAUGGUUUCUUCCACUGUGGAUUUUAGGGACUGAAUUUAAGUUAUUAAGCUUUGUCUUUUGCCUGCUGAGACAUCUUGCUGGUCAUUUAUCUGAAUUUGUGGCUGGUGGCUUCAGGGAUUUUCUCCUGAUAGAUUCUUAGGCACAUGAACAGGAAAGAUAUCUUUCUGAAUCCAGUUUCAAAGUUCUGAAAGAAGGACCCAAAGGCUUCCCUUUCCUGAGCAUAGACGUCACCAGUAAAACAGAAGACAUGCUUGGCGUAGUCACAAGGAGCAUGGACCACUUGAAUCAGUUGUCCACCAGUCAGGCAGAAAAUGUUGAAGCAUGUUCCUUGUACACUGGCAUUUUGAGAGAGAUCUUGAUCACAUUUUUUUCCCACAGCACCCAGGGAGUAAUUGACCUAUAGACUGGUUGACCACAAAAUCUGGUUCUCCUUAAGGUGCCAGGACACUCACAAGACAACUGUCUUCUAACAAAUUCCAUACACUUCACAAUAGAUAAGAUGUCUCUAAGCACUUUUGGUUUUUAAAAAGUUGUGCAAGUAGGGUAAAAAAUUUGGGUAUCAGUAAAUAAACUGAGCACAUGAGAACAUUUUUCCAGCAACUCUAACAUGUGCUUUGUCUCUUGCAAGCUGGUAUAGUAAGUCUCUUCUAGGGUAAAGCUGUCAGACUACACUUGGGAGGCAGAGGCAGGCAGAUCUCUGAGUUUGAGACCAUCCUGGUCUAUAAAGCUAGUUCUAAGGCUGCAAGGGUUAUACAGAGAAAUUCUGUGUCAAAAAAAAAAAAAAGUAAAAAAAAAAAGAAAGAAAAAAGGAUAUAAUGUGAUAUAGGUUCUUUCAGCGUAUAUAAAAUAUGUAUGCAUACAUAAAUACACAUGUAUAUGUGUAUGAAAACACACAAAUGUAUACACAAUAGGCUUACAUAGGGGUUUAUGUUCCACUAUUAUAGUUUUAAUAGAAUUCUUGCUGGGCAGUGGUGGUCAUGCCUUUGUCUCUCAAGUGCUCAACUUAAAGGCAGACAUCACCACAGUCAGUUUCCAUGAUGUC